rnacentral:tRNA from 1 species
AAGAAAGAUCUAAGAUCUGCUAACUCUUAAAUCCAUAGCUAACACUAUGGCUUUCUUA